UUACUAUUUCGGUCUUAAAAAGAGUGGCAUUAAAAAUCUUUUUUUUCUCAAUUUCCAUGCAAAUAUCAAGUGUAAUUCAGUACUAUUACUGACCAAUUGUCACGGUUGGUAAACCGUGAUCUCUGGGUUUUGCACUUUGUGGUGAAGUCUGUGUGUUUCGCGUCUGCACUGAUUAGCUUGUGGGCGUCUCCGUUAAUUGUCAUCAGCAGCAGCUGUCACUCAUUACCCUCUCCCUAUAUAUAUGGCUUGUCUCACGUCUUGUGUUUGUGAGAGCGUUGUUUCAUGUUUGGUAAUGUUCUGCGUUGGAUGUCCGUGUCUUCCCCCGGAACCUCAUCCACUCUUCGCACCUGCACAAGCAUCACCACCUUACCUUCAGCUCGAUUUCCCGCAGUCCCUGUGCCAUCCUCUCCUGCUGCCAACUCACCAUCACCGUCUGGAUUACUCACCGUCUCCCACCAUCUUGGAUUGUCGUCUUCCCUGCAUUAUUUGUAUUCUUGUUUGUUUUGUUUGGUUUUUCAUUAAAUUGUUAAUACUCGCACUUGUUUCCAGCUCCUCCUUCACCCAGUCGUCACACCAAUACCAUUACUUUACCACUUUACUAUUGUAGUAAAUAGACCCUCUGUUUGCCUUUGUGGUGCUACAUAGUAAUAUGUAUUUGUAGAUUGUAAUUUCACUUUUGAAAUUACACUUUUGCUGCCUUAGGUACAAAAAGGCUUAAGGGUAUGAUGGUGAUAGUUGAAAGACAUUUGAUUUUAAGCUUAAUGGACUUGUUCACAUGAUUUGAAACAACUAGUAUCAGCAGUGUGUGUGUGUGUGUUAUAAUGGUUUAAAAUUAAUGGACCUUAACCAUUCAGUAUUAUUCACACUUUGACUUUUCCAAACUAUGGAAUGUAUGUUUGUAGAUUGCUAUUUUCUAUUUGUUUUAAAAGUGCACAUUGAAAGCUGAUCGUCUGUUUUCAAGUUAUUAUACAUAUAUAUAUAUAUAAAGUGUUUUUAUUUGUGUGUAGUAAGUGGAAAGAAAUACAUUUUUACUUAUCUGAAAGCAAAACAUUUUUUAGUUAGAAACAGUAAUAAAAAUGUCUUCCGUUACA
ensembl:lncRNA